rnacentral:rRNA from 1 species
GACGAACGCUGGCGGCGUGCUUAACACAUGCAAGUCGAACGGAAAGGCCCCUUUGGGGGUACUCGAGUGGCGAACGGGUGAGUAACACGUGAGUAACCUGCCCUUGACUUCGGGAUAACUUCAGGAAACUGGGCUAAUACCGGAUAGGAAUCCUUUCUGCCUGGUGGGGGUUGGAAAGCUUCGGCGGUUUUGGAUGGACUCGCGGCCUAUCAGCUUGUUGGUGGGGUAGUGGCUUACCAAGGCUUUGACGGGUAGCCGGCCUGAGAGGGCGACCGGCCACAUUGGGACUGAGAUACGGCCCAGACGCCUACGGGAGGAAGCAGUGGGGAAUAUUGCACAAUGGGCGGAAGCCUGAUGCAGCAACGCCGCGUGCGGGAGGACGGCCUUCGGGUUGUAAACCGCUUUCAGCAGGGGCGAAGCUUGUGGUGACGGUACCUGCAGAAGAAGCACCGGCUAACUACGUG